CGUGAGCAACCUGCCUGUUAGAGGGGAAUAACAGUGAGAAAUCAUUGCUAAUACCGCAUAUGCCAUAGAUACCACAUGGUAUCAGUGGGAAAGGAGCAAUCCGCUAACAGAUGGGCUCGCGUCUGAUUAGAUAGUUGGUGGGGUAACGGCCUACCAAGUCAACGAUCAGUAGCCGGACUGAGAGGUUGAACGGCCACAUUGGGACUGAGAUACGGCCCAGACUCCUACGGAAGGCAGCAG
rnacentral:rRNA from 1 species